UACGAAGGGUGCAAGCGUUACUCGGAAUUACUGGGCGUAAAGGGCGCGUAGGCGGCCUUCUAAGUCGAACGUGAAAUCCCCGGGCUCAACCCGGGAACUGCGUCCGAGACUGGAAGGCUUGAAUCCGGGAGAGGGAUGUGGAAUUCCAGGUGUAGCGGUGAAAUGCGUAGAUAUCGAGAGGAACACCGGUGGCGAAGGCGGCCUUCUGGACAGUGACUGACGCUGAGACGCGAAAGCGUGGGAGCAAACAGG
rnacentral:rRNA from 1 species